rnacentral:rRNA from 1 species
ACGGGGUGCAGCAGGGGCGAACACUUUACAAUGCGGGAAACCGCGAUAAGGGAACCCCGAGUGCCAGCAUCAAAUGUUGGUUGUCCAGAUGAUUAAAAAUCAUUUGUUAGCAAGGGCCGGGCAAGACCGGUGCCAGCCGCCGCGGUAACACCGGCGGCCCGAGUGGUAGCCGUUUUUAUUGGGUCUAAAGGGUCCGUAGCCGGCUUGAUAAGUCCUUCGGGAAAUCUGGCAGCUUAACUGUCAGGCUUCUAAGGGAUACUGUCAGGCUUGGGACCGGAAGAGGUAUGGGGUGCAGCAGGGGUAGGAGUGAAAUCUUGUAAUCCCUGGGGGACCAUCUGUGGCGAAGGCGCCUUACCAGAACGGGUCCGACGGUGAGGGACGAAAGCUAGGGGAGCAAACCGGAUUAGAUACCCGGGUAGUCCUAGCUGUAAACGAUGCUCGCUAGGUGUCAGACACGGUGCGACCGUGUUUGGUGCCGCAGGGAAGCCGUUAAGCGAGCCACCUGGGAAGUACGGUCGCAAGGCUGAAACUUAAAGGAAUUGGCGGGGGAGCAC